CACAUCAAAAUCAAAAGCAGCGGACGAAAAGAUGUAGAAACGUGUGCGUCAAAAAAUAUAAUAGAAAUUAAAAAAAAAAAAAACGAGAAGCCCCACAAACAUUUUGUGUGUGAACGUAGCGCGUGAGUAGGCUCAGAGCCAUUGGCCACUGUGCAACACCAGUUGGCAACGUUGUGCAACACUGAAACAGCUACGCCGGCAUUUAGCGCACUUCGAUGUGCAUUAAUUGAGAGACGUUUACCAAUUUUCAAUUGCCAACGCCAAACGGCAGCGCCAGCGCCUUUCGACUCAUACGCAUCCUCAGCUCGGGGCGUUGGCAGCACACGCACAGACAUUCUCAUCAGUUGGCGGCACAGUUGGCGUCAUGGCCAUGCCUUCGAUCUCAACGCUGGUGGGCGUGGCGUUUUUAGCCUACAUCCUGCAUUCCAUAUACCAAAUGUCGCAGCUCUUCACGACGCUCAAGUGCAGCGACUCGCCCUGCUACACAUCGUUCCUGGCGGAGCGGCCGCGUCUGCAGCUGGCGCUGUUCAGUUCGCUGACACGUAAUCCGAUUGCCUCCGAGGUGCAGGAUCUGUACAAGACGAAGCGUUUCGAUUAUGGCAAACCCUUCGAUCAGGACUUCAAGCUGGAUGUGCCGCUCAAGACGCGCCGCAACGGCACGCUCUACCUGCAUGUGGUGCUGGCGCUGGAGGGCGAGCCGCUCGAGUGGCGCACCCUGCGCCGCGAGGGACCCACCGUGCUGCACACGCUCAGCAUGUGCGAGUAUAUGUUGCCGCGGGCGGAGGCCUUUAAUCUGCUGGGCGAUGGCGAGAAGCAGUCGUCGUCGUCGUCAUCAUCGCCAACGGCGGCGCCCGUGAAGCGGUCAUCUGUGCCGGGUCGACCCAUCACACACAUACGUAGCGAUGUGUACGUGACGCUGCUGACGGAUCUGUUUGCGCUGUCGCAGGCGGACGUGCCGCCAGAGAUGGCACAGCUGAUACGCGUGAAUCGCAUGCAACAAAUACUGCCCAUACUGCAGACGGACAUGUUCAAUACACGGCUCAAGGAUCUGGUUGCCGUGACGAGCAACACCACCGAAUUCACAUUCCGCUUCCAUUACAAGCCCGUCGGCGUGGGCAAGCUGCGCCUGAUGCUGCUCAUGGAGCACGCCACACAGGCGCUGCAGGCGUUCGGAUUUGCCAGCAAGGACAUUGACGAGGUCAAGGGCAUCUUCUCCGACACGAAUGUGUACCUGCUCUGCGGCACCAUCUUCGUGUCCAGCAUUCACAUGCUCUUCGACUUUCUGAGCUUCAAGAACGACGUGUCCUUUUGGCGCCAGAAACGCUCCUACGAGGGCUUGUCCACGCGCACCACACUCUGGCGCGCCUUCUCGCAGAUCGUCAUCUUUCUGUAUCUGCUGGACGAGCAGACAUCGUAUCUGGUGCUGGUGCCCGUCGGCCUCGGCACCCUGAUCGAGCUGUGGAAAUGCAAGAAGAUAUUGCGGCUCGAGCUGAGUUUCAGCUCGUUCAUCAGCCGCAAACUGGAGGAGGUGGAUCAGCGCAACGGGCAAGCACAGCCCGCCGCUGGCCAGCUGGCCGAGCAGCAGACGCAGCAGUUCGAUCGCGAGGGCAUGCGCUAUCUCAGCUAUCUGCUGUAUCCGCUGUGCCUGGGCGGCGCCGUCUAUUCGCUGCUGUAUCAGCCGCAUCGCUCCUGGUACAGCUGGACCCUUAACUCGCUGGUGAAUGGCGUCUAUGCGUUUGGGUUUCUGUUCAUGCUGCCGCAGCUGUUUGUCAACUACAAGCUCAAGUCUGUGGCGGCUCUGCCCUGGCGCGCUUUCAUGUACAAGGCCUUCAAUACGUUCAUCGACGACUUCUUUGCCUUCAUCAUCACCAUGCCGACGGCUCAUCGUGUCGCCUGCCUGCGCGACGAUAUUGUGUUCCUUAUCUAUUUGUAUCAGCGCUGGCUCUAUCCGGUGGACGCAACGCGCGUCGAUACGGGCCUCGCCAUUGAUGAGACGCCUCCGGCUCGUGGCACCGGCUCCGGGUCUCGCCCCAAGCGCGACUAAAGCCUCGCUUCGGCUCAUGACAUCACAAUGCUAAGUAGCUGCAUAUUCCGUCGAUUUGUUUAGCAAAUAGUUGCAACCAUUGGCUGUAAUCAAUAUACCCUACACACACACACACACACACACAUACACACACACACACACACACACACACCCAUUUGGAUCCUACUCGCCACACAAAUUUGUAUACCCUGUAUCCCACUGGAUGCAUAGCAGGCGGAGAGGCAGCCAACACAGUAGCAACAUAAUCUGCCCUAGUGGAGGAGGCGACAUAUUCUUGAUAAGCCGGGAUAUACAUAUAUUCCCAUUUUCACCGCUUUCACGCAGGCAAGUUCCCCAAGCAGGCAGUAAAUAUGUCCAGAGUCGUCCGGAUCGGACCACUAUAAAACCCUUCCUUUAUACUCCCAAUAUAAACACAAGUUCUUUUCAACAUCGGAA